rnacentral:rRNA from 1 species
AGCAGUCGCCACGGUAAAACGGAGGGUGCAAGCGUUAAUCGGAAUUACUGGGCGUAAAGCGCACGCAGGCGGUCUCAAGUCAGAUGUGAAAUCCCCGGGCUUAACCUGGGAACUGCAUUUGAAACUGGCAGGCUAGAGUCUUGUAGAGGGGGGUAGAAUUCCAGGUGUAGCGGUGAAAUGCGUAGAGAUCUGGAGGAAUACCGGUGGCGAAGGCGGCCCCCUGGACAAAGACUGACGCUCAGGUGCGAAAGCGUGGGGAGCAAACAGGAUUAGAUACCCCUGUAGUCCCUGUCUCUUAUACAC